rnacentral:sRNA from 1 species
GCUGGGUGUGGUGGUGCACGCUUGUAGUCCCAGCUACUCUGGAGGCUGAGGCAGGAGAAUUGCUUCAGCCCAGGAGGCAGAGGUUGCAGUGAGCCGAGAUCGCACCACUGCACUCCAGCCUGGGCAGUGGAGCAAGACCUUGUCUCAA